GACGGAGGGGGCAAGCGUUGUCCGGACUUACUGGGCGUAAAGGGCCCGUAGGCGGCCCGGUGCGUCGGUGCUGAAAGCGCCCCGCUUAACGGGGUGAGGCGUGCCGAUACGACCGGGCUCGAGGCAGGCAGAGGGUGGCGGAAUUCCGGGUGUAGUGGUGAAAUGCGUAGAGAUCCGGAGGAACGCCUGUGGCGCAAGCGGCCACCUGGGCCUGACCUGACGCUGAGGGGCGAAAGCGUGGGGAGCGAACCGGAUUAGAAACCCCCGUAGUCC
rnacentral:rRNA from 1 species